ensembl:lncRNA
AGACUCUUCCGUUUGAUGUCCCCCACCAUCAGGGCUGUCCCCUCCAUCCCAUAGCCAGGUCCUCAGGCGGGGCCACCAUCCCCUGCCUGCAUCAUCACAGCAGUCUCGUCCCUGGUCCUGCCUCCACUGUCCCCCGCUCCCUCCUCCUCGCAGCCCAGCCAGGCUUUUCAAACCACAAAUCUGACCUCUCUCUCCCCUGCUUAAAACUCUCCAUGGCUCCCAGGUGCCCAGCCAGAAAGUUCAAACUCCUAACCUGGCCUACAACCAUUACUGGUCUCCAGUUCUGGAUUUUCUUUUCUUUUCUUUUUCUUAUUCUUUUUUUUUUUUAAUAUUUUUAGGGCCGCACCCAUGGCAUAUGGAGGUUCCCAGGCUAGGGGACAAAUUGGAACCAUAACUGCUGGCCUACAUCACAGCCACAGCAACGCCAGAUCCGAGCCACAUCUGCGACCUACACCACAGCUCAUGGCAACGCCGGAUCCUUAACCCACUGAGCGAGGCCAGGGAUCGAACCCGCAUCCUCAUGGAUACUAGUCGGGUUCCUUACCACCGAGCCAUGACAGGAACUCGUCUAGUUCCAGCUUUCCUCCUCCACGCUGCCCCAGCAGCCCCCAGCCUCCCUGAGAAUUCCUUGUGGGCAGGACUCUGUCUUGGUGGCUGACGUAUCCUCAGAGCCUGGCAGAGAAAUCACCUUCUCAAGGAAGCCUUCUUGGAUUGGGUCCCUCAGGAAUCAUCUAAUGCAGAUAACCUGGUGGGCCUGCGCCCUCAUUUCUGGGUCUCUGUUAAAGGGAUCUAGGUUUUUUUUCUGGGAGGAAAAAGAUUGCAAGGUCUCAAAUAAUAGCGGACCGUGUCUCCUCAAUCAACUUGAGACCUCUGCGGGGAGGGGCUGUGUCUCUCCCAUGAGACUUGGACCUCCCCAGAGUGGGGCUGUGUCUCCACCAUCAGUCACAUGAAGCUUCAUGAUGGCAGGGGGUCUGUCCUCUCUCCGUCAGAGUGAGAACCCCUCAGGGCAGGGUCUGUGACCCCAGAUCUUCUCACAUUUCCAUCUAAGGAGAAUGCAAGUGUCCAUUCUGUCUGGUUUUGUUCCGUGAUAUUUUCAUGUGGUCGUCUCGGAAGAGACACAUGCUGAGCCAGGAAGAUGGAAUACCGGCAGCUGUCUGUCCCCCGACGCUGGGCCUGGGGACAGCCCCUCCUGGGGCAGGACAGCCUCUCAGGAAGUCUGCACUGAAGGGGAAGGGCUGGGGCUCACAGGGGACCCACAGACACUCCUGCACCCCGCAUUCCAUGCUUGGAGCCAGGGGCCUCACACUCCUGCACCCCGUCCAGCUGUUGGGGACGACAUGGCUCGGAUCUUCAGUGUUGGAAAUUGAGACACAUGAACCCAGGGAGAUCUCGACAAACUCUUUAUUUCUGCAGGGUGGUGUGGGUGCUCAAAAAGCGCUCAAAGAAGAAAAGACCCCCCCGGAAGUAUCCCUAACGCAGAUGAUGUACCUGUCCCCUUCCCAUGGGUCAGGUCAGGGCACACAUUCCUCCCAGUUGGCUAAUUUGAAACAAAUGGUUAUUGGGAGAAGAGGGAAAGAGGAGGGGGUCACAGGAGGGCGUUUCAGCCCAAACUGGAGCAAAACAGAGUCACCAAGUUGUCUUCCCUCCUCAACCCCGAGGGAACCUGGCCCACCUUUCGUUCCACACCCAGUUUUUGCCUCUGCUCAGUCCUUACCUAGACUAGCCUGAGUCUGGAAACUUCUGGAAGCAUCCAGGUCUAGUCCCUCAGCGUCUUGCGAACACCAGCAAGAAGUUCUAAGUCUGAGCAGAAAAUCCUCCAGGAAACACAGCCCUCAGACACCCCCCAAAAAAGUCUGGCCAGCAAAAGACCCAGCCCCUCACCCCAUCUGAGGAUUAUCAGUCUUGUAACCUCUCGGUCGUGGGCCAGCAAGGACCCUGGACAGAGAGGGGUGAAGGUCAGGAUGAGAGGGGCACAGUGGCUCUUAUUGUGACCUCUUUUCUGUGUGACCUGGAGUAAACCAUUCAAGUUCUUGGCACCUCAGUUUCCCCAUCUGUCUUGCUGGAGGAUCGUAUUGAGAACAGAACAAGACUCCAGAUGGAAGUUCCCAGGUGGUGCCGCAGGUUAAGGAUCUCCGGUGUGGCCGCAGCUGUGGUGCAGGUGGCAAGUGCAGUGGCGAGGGUUCGAUUCCUGGUCCAGGAACUUCUACAUGUGGAGGGU